CCUUCGGGGUACACGAGCGGCGAACGGGUGAGUAACACGUGGGUGAUCUGCCCUGUACUUCGGGAUAAGCCUGGGAAACUGGGUCUAAUACCGGAUAUGACCUUACAUCGCAUGGUGUUUGGUGGAAAGAUUUAUCGGUACAGGAUGGGCCCGCGGCCUAUCAGCUUGUUGGUGGGGUAAUGGCCUACCAAGGCGACGACGGGUAGCCGGCCUGAGAGGGCGACCGGCCACACUGGGACUGAGACACGGCCCAGACUCCUACGGGAGGCAGCAGUGGGGAAUAUUGCACAAUGGGCGAAAGCCUGAUGCAGCGACGCCGCGUGAGGGAUGACGGCCUUCGGGUUGUAAACCUCUUUCGACAGGGACGAAGCGCAAGUGACGGUACCUGUAGAAGAAGCACCGGCCAACUACGUGCCAGCAGCCGCGGUAAUACGUAGGGUGCGAGCGUUGUCCGGAAUUACUGGGCGUAAAGAGCUUGUAGGCGGUUUGUCGCGUCGUCCGUGAAAACUUGGGGCUCAACCCCAAGCUUG
rnacentral:rRNA from 1 species